GCUAGGACCUUGUUUGCCACUACCGCUCGUCCAAUCAUUGAGAGGAAGGGGCGGGCCGAGGUCCACGCUUGUGACAAAAAUUUCGGCCCGCCGCAAAACAUUUUAUCUCCUCUUUUUUGGCCUUUCGCGUGAGCGGUCUUGGAAACUGCGUUCCCAUGGCGCCUGUCUGUGGCAGAAAUGAAAGUGAGGGGCAAGGCGCUUCGGGUUUCCGCCUAGAGCCGCCUGGCAGAGGGUAUCGCUGGUCCUGGGUCCAGGCCGGUCGGGAAUGCCGCGGUCGGCAGCAGCUCGCCCCGUUCCCUGCAGUUUCCAGAAUCCUUGCGGGUGUCAUCGUAGCCAUAGCUGUCCACCUAUACCGCUGGACCCCAGUAUACUUGUCAGUUUGGCAGAGGGAAUGUUUGCUGGCUCCCCAAAAGAGAAAGACAUCUAAACGUUUUAAAGAAGUGAAGCAAAAGCUACCCAGAGCUCUGAUAACCUUUCUUGUUUCUGUAAAGUUUCUGAGAUGUGAACCAAUCCCAGUUAUGAUGGAACUGAAAUGGCAGUCUGGCAUGAUAUAUUUAGGAAUGAAACUGAAAAAAUGCACAACCUAAAAGUUGAGAAUUAUGUUUCAUUUGGUGACUCUCUGCGGACUUAAACCUGGAAGACAGUCUUUCAGGUUGCUCUGAAGGACUACUCCAAAGAGAACUGGACCCAGUGUUAAAAGAGGACAUUUGCUACAUACCACAUGGUGCUCUGGAAAUAGCUCAACAAAUGCAGAAUAAACUGUUAAGCUAAUAGGCCUCCAAAUCCAGAACCAUCUCAAACAGAUAAAAUCAGCCACAUUCUGCACUAUGAUCAUAGAUGGGAGCGCUGGAUCACUUCCAAAGAAAAUCUCUCCGUCUUCAUGUGCCAUGUUCCCCAGAGUGAAGAAGGUAAGAUGGAGCUUUGUUAAAAUUUGAUUGAUUUUGUAGAGGCUUGAUAUGACUGAGAAUCUCCUAAUGGAACUCUUCUUGAAGAGAAUAGCAGUCCAGGGUUUACCAAAGGAACUCCUGUGGGGUUUGAGAUCAGAGGGCAAUCCUAUGAUUGGCCAGCUGGAAAGGUGUGUUCUUGGCUUCUGAGAUGCAGGAGCUGGACUCACUAAUAUUUGGUUCUGUGCAAUAAAGCUAGUUCCAGACAUUGUGGGCAAAGUCACAGUGCUGCUAAAGGUGUUCUCAGAGUACUUCACCACACAGCUGGAUUUGUUGCAUGAAUCUUGAAUGAGUGGGAUGAAUGCUGGGAGGAUGAAGGGGAGGGUGUUGUGAUUUAUAAGGAAAAACUAUAUUUGGUCAUUCAGAUGAUGGCCAAAACCCUUGAAAUUUCCUAAAUGCUGAGGGUGAUAAAGGUAUCUCUUGUUAUGUUAAUAAAGUGAUUUUUAGACUUGGAAUGGAGGCUAGUUGUCAGGAGGACCAGCUCUCUGAUUAGAGGGUUUGAACUUUCAGUCUCCCCCCAGUUUCAGGAGGAGAGGAGAGGAGAACUGUCAUUGAAUCAGUUGCCAUUGGCCAAUGAUUUAGUCAACCCUAACUAUGUAAUGAGGCCUCUAAAAAAAGCCAGAAGGAGAGCUUUUGGACCCCUCUUCAGAGAGCUUCCACCUCAGAGAGCCGGAAUGCUUCUCCAUGCUAACAUGGAGGGCUCCAUGCUCCAAGAGGACAGGAGCUCCUUUGUUUGGGACCUUUCCCUGUGUCUCUUCAUCUGCCUAUUGAUUUGCACCCUUUAAUAUCCUUUUAUAAUGAAUCAGUGAUGUGGUGAUUAAAUGGGUUUUCCUGGGUUCUGUGAAUUGUUCUAGCAAGUUAAUUAGAUCUGAUGAGGAGUUUUUGAAAACAUCUGAUAUGUAGCUGGUUGGUCGGAAGCACAGGUAACAACCUGAAUUGCAGCUGGUGUCUGAAGUGAAGGGUGGUCUUGUGAAACUGAUCCCGUUUACCUGUGGAAUCUAGUUCUAUCUAUGAGUAGAUAGGGUCAGAUAACAUGCUGGGUGUCUGAGAAUUGCUUGUUGGUGUGGAGAACCAACACACACAUUGGCAUAGAUUCUGGGAACCCUUUUCAAGGAGGAACAGAGAAGCAUCAGAGAAAAUGCCAGGUAGACAGCUUCUUGGUAUCUUGAGUCUUUUCAAGGCCAAGUGUACAAUCAUCCUCAAAGUUUUUCAGGAAAUAGGCACUCACAGGAGUGAUGAGAGACCUUGUUUAUCCCAUCAACAAGUGUGACUUCUUGGUGAUAAUGGCAUGUGUUGAAUAAAACCUUUCACAUAGCAAGUUCCUGCCUCAGGAAAUGUGGCAGGCUGACACUGACCUCAUUCACUUGUCUAAUGAACCCAACCUUGUCAUCCGGAAGUUCCUGAAAAUGAAGGACUAUGAGACCCAAGCUUGGUGUUCUUGUACAAUGAAAUAAAGCAUGGGAAUAGGAGAGUAUCCUCCCACUUUGCCCAGGUUGUGUGGCCAAUACGUUCCCCACAAUGUCUUCACAACCAUGGACCUCUAGGAGAGCCACAAAAAGGUCUAUUCCCUUUCUGAACCAUGUUGUUUUUGAAAUGCAGGAGCAGCAGAGUGCUUGCUGUGAUUCUUUGCUCAAUCCCUCAUCCCAAGCAAUUUGCAUUUGCUGGAGAAUGAUGAAGCCGAAGUGGCACUCUCUGAGGCAUUCAAGGGAGAUAGUCCCUACCUGGACAGGUGUAGAGCACAGCUGCAGAGGUCCAUGGCUGGGUGGAUGGAUGUUCCCUGGCAAGAACAGCCAAAUAAUAUCCUUGCUGCCCUGUAACACUUGAACUUCUCCUACCCUGGCAUUCAUACAGCCCUCUCCAUUCUGGCCACAUCCUGGCCACUAUAGCUGUCCCUGUCUCUCCUGGAGGGUGGAGAGAAUCAGUAUCUGACACAGGCACUCUGGAAGGAAGUAAGAGCUUGCCUGGGAAGGCCCUGACAUGUAUUCCUCAGGACAGCAGAUAUGCAUGAGGUCUUGGAUGACUUUGACCCAUACACACACUCGUAGAGGGCUGGAAUGUUUUCUAAGUUGCUGAAACAUACCUAUACUUGGAACUUGGCCCAGUGCUGGGAGCCACAAAGUGGCUAAGAAGAAUAAUCCUGUGUGAGGCCUAACUGUAAGCAAAGCUACAGCAGAGGCUGAAGAAACUGAAGCUGCAAAGCAGUUUCGAAGAAUCCCCCAGCUGAACCUGUUUAGUAAAAAUUCCUGAAAUAUGAUUUCCUCUUCUGUUCUUGCACUUCUUUCCUGUCUGACGUUUAUGUGUGUUAUGAGUCAUUCUUGGCUCAUAAUAUGGGAACCUUUUCAAAUUCCUGAGGCUUCACCCAAGCAUGGGCCAUUACCUACUUGUAAACCUAAGCCCUUGUCAAAUAGGUUGAAAACAAUUGAAUUAUGCAUAAAGAACUUUCCUAAGAAUGGGAAGUUUCCCUUCAGAGGAGUAAUAGUAAAUAUUACGCAGAACUGCCACGUAAGCCUGGGGAUUUUGUUGGACUUUGGUCCGUCCCCAUAGAGACAGAUUAGGGGGUGGUUUGUGUGUUGCCCAUGGCCCAACAAUUGUGGAUACUAUAAGGCAAGAUAUUUUUUUCUACAAUAAACGCUACCUGUUGGGACCCAGCAGGUGGAAAUUAUUAUUAUAAUUGGCAAGAUUCUUUUAAUAUAUAGAUUUUAUAAUUAAUAAAGAUUUUUAUAAUAGAUAAGGUUUAUUUAAGACAGUUUAUGUUCCCACAACCUGCUAAUGGUCUGAGGUCAGCCUGACCUCGAAAGCAAGCCACGUGUGAAUACCCCACUCCCCAUUAAUGGCUGUUCAUGCCUGCUAGAGGAGCACAAUAGGUAGCUUGAGGCAAGAAUAUCUAUCACCUUAUGCCAAAUCAUUGUUAAAGUAAAAAUUAGAUACCUAUUAUUCUGCUUGCUAUUUACUUAUUUUCUAAGAAUAAAAGUACAGUUUGUACAUAAUCUUUAUUUAAAAUCUAAAACUAAAAGAAUAGUUUGGAAUAAUAAAUUAACAUAUAUUGUUGUUUGUAUAAUCAUGCAUAAGAGUAAAAUGUAUAAAAGCUGAUGCUCUCCUUUCAAUAAACGGGUCAUCUGCAGCACUUGCUGAGGGAGUUGGCUCCAAUUCNCAGCAGCCCAGGGAAAAUGUGUCUGCUGAACAUGUUUUGGGGAUUUGCUACCCGUUUACAAGAUCAUUUUUAAAGCGGUUUUCCAGUGAAAAUGGACCUUGUACUAGGGAAGUGGGUCCUGGGAACAUGUAAUGCAAUGAGGGACAGCAGCAUAAGAGGCAGGCAGAGAUUCUCAGUACAUUUAAAAUCCAAUCACUGUGAUUGAGUAAGGAAAACAGAGUUGCACAUGAAGCUCUUAAAUACAAGUGGCCUUUUAAGUUUCCUUUACUUGAUAUUAUUAGAACAUGAAACUUUGCAGAGAAACUUUGCGUAGAAACUCAAGCACAUUUUUUUUUUAAAGCGACAAUAUCUAAUUUAGAAUCAUUAGUACAGUCAAAGAAUCCUUUUUAUAGAAGCUGAGGCAGGGGAGAGGGAGGAAAAGAAAGACCUUUUGAGAGGAGUGAAGAGAGAGGGAAAAGUAGAUAGGCAUACCCAUCAUGAGGAGUGAGCAAACACAUUCAUUCAAUCACUGCUUCUGGUUCUCUGGCAGAAACACAGUCUAUUGAGUCCUCUCUGGGUUCGCAGCAUCUCCAACCCUCCUUCCCGUUCCUGUAGGAUUGUAUGAUGUUGGUCAGAUUACUUAAUCUCUUAAUCGCCUUUCCUCUGUGAAAUGAGGUUUACAAGCUUUCUGUAUUUCCCUAAACAUUGUUGGAAGGGUGAAUUGAGAUAAGGGAAAUGAAAGACAAUUUGUAAGUCAUAAAACUGUAUCUCUGGCUAGCUACCCUGGUGCUGAGAAGUUUGUAAUGACACCAUUACUUGUUAAUUUUUUUAGCAAACUCUUAUGUACACAUAAUGAUCAUAGUUUCCUUUGUGGAUACAAUGCAUUUUUUUAUUAGUUUUUUUUGAAGUAUAGUUGAUUUGUAAUAUUGUGUUAGUUUCAGAUGUAUAGCAAAGUGGUUCACCUAUAUAUAUACAUAUAUCCAUUCUUUUUCAGAUUCAUUUCCAAAUAGGUUAUUAUAGAAUAUUGGGUAGAGGAGUUCCCAUUGUGGCUCAGCGGAAACGAAUCUGACUAGUUUCCAUGAGAACACAUGUUUAAUCCCUGGACCCACUCAGUGGGUUAAGGAUCCAGUGUUGCCGUGAGCUGUGGUGUAGGUUGCAUACGUGGCUUGGAUCCUGAGUUGCUGUGGCUCUGGUGUAGGCGGGCGACUAUAGCUCCAAUUCAACACCUAGCCUGGGAACCUCAAUAUGCCGCAAAUUUGGCCCAUAAAAGACAAAAAAAAAAAAA
rnacentral:lncRNA from 1 species